UACGGGGGGAGCAAGCGUUGUUCGGAUUUACUGGGCGUAAAGGGCGCGUAGGCGGUCGUGACAAGUCACUUGUGAAAUCUCCGGGGCUUAACUCGGAACGGUCAAGUGAUACUGUCGGACUAGAGUACAGAAGGGGCAACUGGAAUUCUCGGGUGUAGCGGUGAAAUGCGUAGAUAUCGAGAGGAACGACCUGCGGCGAAGGCGGGUUGCCUGGGCG
rnacentral:rRNA from 1 species